CCCUUUGAUACUCUGGGCGGCACGCGCGCUACACUGGUUUAUAUAACGUGUAAUUUGGACGAUAGUCUGUAUAAAUCACUAAUAUAAAACCGUGAAUGGGAUAGUUUAUUGCAACUUACAAACUUUAACUAGGAAUCCCUUGUAGAAGUAGUGAAUUAUACUGCUUCGAAUACGUCCCUGCCGAUUGUACACACCGCCCGUCGUUUCUUCCGACUGGUACCCAUUGUGAAUUGCGAGGAGAUUCUGUCAAAUCGUUGUAAAUGCUGGGUAUUGGAGGAAGAAAAAGUCGUAACA
rnacentral:rRNA from 1 species